UGGGGAAUACUGGAUAACGGGCGAAAGCCUGAUCCAGCGAUGCUGCGUGUGUGAAGAAGGUCUUCGGAUUGUAAAGCACCAAAAGUUGGGAGGAAGGGCAGUAAGCGAAUACCUUGCUGUUUUGACGUUACCGACAGAAUAAGCACCGGCUAACCCUGUGCCAGCAGCCGCGGCAAUACAGAGGGCGCAAGCGCUAAUCGGAAUUACUGGGCGUAAAGCGCGCGUAGGUGGAUCGUUAAGUUGAAUGUGAAGGCCCCGGGCUCAACCCUGGAACUGCUUCCAUAACUGGCCCGCUUUAGUACGGCCGAGCGUGGUGGAGUUUCCUGUGUAUCGGUGAAAUGCGUUGAUAUAGGAAGGAACACCAGUAACGAAGGCGACCACCUAGGCUCAUACUGACACUGAGGUGCGAAAGCGUGGGGCGCAAACCUG
rnacentral:rRNA from 1 species